GUGGGGAAUAUUGGACAAUGGGCGAAAGCCUGAUCCAGCCAUGCCGCGUGUGUGAAGAAGGUCUUCGGAUUGUAAAGCACUUUAAGUUGGGAGGAAGGGUAGUAACCUAAUACGUUGCUACUUUGACGUUACCGACAGAAUAAGCACCGGCUAACUUCGUGCCAGCAGCCGCGGUAAUACGAAGGGUGCAAGCGUUAAUCGGAAUUACUGGGCGUAAAGCGCGCGUAGGUGGUUCAGUAAGUUGGAAGUGAAAUCCCCGGGCUCAACCUGGGAACUGCUUUCAAAACUGCUGAGCUAGAGUACGGUAGAGGGUGGUGGAAUUUCCUGUGUAGCGGUGAAAUGCGUAGAUAUAGGAAGGAACACCAGUGGCGAAGGCGACUACCUGGACUGAUACUGACACUGAGGUGCGAAAGCGUGGGGAGCAAACAGGAUUAGAUACCCCAGUAGUCC
rnacentral:rRNA from 1 species